ACCAGGUCUUGACAUCCUCUGACCAUCUGAGAGAUCAGACUUUCCCUUUCGGGGACAGAGAGACAGGUGGUGCAUGGUUGUCGUCAGCUCGUGUCGUUGAGAUGUUGGGUUAAGUCCCGCAACGAGCGCAACCCCUGUGGUUAGUUGCCAUCAUUUAGUUGGGCACUCUAAGCAGACUGCCGUGGAUAACACGGAGGAAGGUGGGGACGACGUCAAAUCAUCAUGCCCCUUAUGACCUGGGCUACACACGUGCUACAAUGGUCUGAACAGAGGGCUGCGAAACCGCGAGGUGAAGCUAAUCCCUUAAAACAGAUCUCAGUUCGGAUUGCAGGCUGCAACUCGCCUGCAUGAAGUUGGAGUUGCUAGUAAUCGCAGAUCAGAAUGCUGCGGUGAAUGCGUUCCCGGGUCUU
rnacentral:rRNA from 1 species